AGCAGGGUAGAGCAGUCUGGUAGCUCGUUGGGCUCAUAAUCCAAAGGUCGUUGGUUCAAAUCCUUCCCCUGCCA
rnacentral:tRNA from 2 species